UACAAGGCACAUCAAUUUCUGCAGCCUGGGUCAACAAACCGGUUUACACAUGCUAUGAUGUGGAAAGGAGGAAAGGAUUGGAUAUUGGAAUUUCCUGAUAGGAGUCAGUGGGCUCGUUUCAAAGAGAUGCAUGAAGAGUGCUAUAAUCGGAACAUCCGUGCUGCCUCUGUUAGAAACAUUCCUAUUCCUGGGGUUCGCUUGAUAGAGGAAAAUGACGACAAUGGAAUUGAAGUUCCAUUUGUUCGAAGUUCAUCUAAGUACUUUCGGCAGAUUGAAACUGAUAUUGAGAUGGCUUUGGAUCCAUUGAGGGUGCUAUAUGACAUGGAUAGUGAUGAUGAGCAGUGGGUGUUGAAAAAUCGAACUUCUUCAGAAGCUGCCAACAGUAGUUCAUGGGAGAUAUCUGACGAAAUGUUCGAGAAGACUAUGGACAUGUUUGAGAAGGCUGCAUAUUCUCAACAAUGUAACCAAUUUACAUCUGAUGAAAUAGAAGACCUCAUGGCUGGACUGGGCCCAAUGAAAGCAAUCAAAAUUAUCCAUGAGUAUUGGCAGCAAAAGAGGCAGAGGAAGGGAAUGCCUUUAAUCCGUCAUCUCCAGCCACCUCUAUGGGAGAGGUAUCAGCAACAGUUGAGGGAGUGGGAGCUAGCAAAAAGUACUACCCUUUCUAAUGGAUGUCAUGAGAAGGUGGCACAUGUUGAAAAGCCUCCCAUGUUUGCUUUCUGCUUGAAACCACGG
rnacentral:misc_RNA from 1 species